UAUUGCCAGUUGCUACCAGGUAAUGCUGGGCACUCUGGUGAGACUGCCCGGUUAACGGGGAGGAAGGUGGGGACGACGUCAAGUCAUCAUGGCCCUUACGCCUAGGGCUACACACGUACUACAAUGGCGCAUACAAAGGGCAGCGAUACCGCGAGGUGGAGCCAAUCCCAAAAAGUGCGUCCCAGUCCGGAUUGCAGUCUGCAACUCGACCGCAUGAAGUUGGAAUCGCUAGUAAUUCGAGAUCAGCAUCGCUCGGUGAAUGCGUUCCCGGCCUU
rnacentral:rRNA from 1 species